UACGUAGGGUGCAAGCGUUAAUCGGAAUUACUGGGCGUAAAGCGUGCGCAGGCGGUGAUGUAAGACAGAUGUGAAAUCCCCGGGCUCAACCUGGGAACUGCAUUUGUGACUGCAUCGCUGGAGUGCGGCAGAGGGGGAUGGAAUUCCGCGUGUAGCAGUGAAAUGCGUAGAUAUGCGGAGGAACACCGAUGGCGAAGGCGGGACUCUGGGCCUACCCUGACGCUGAGGCGCGAAGGCGUGGGGAGCAAACGGG
rnacentral:rRNA from 1 species